GGAAUAACAAUGAUAAGGAAUAGUAGUAAAGUGAUACAAGAUAAUUUAGAGAGGUAACGGUUGGUGGAAGUUGCUCUUGUUCUUUAUGAACUCGCCUUUUAUGUUGUAAUGGUGAACGAAUAGUAGCUAUUACCGUAUUUUUCUGCGUUAAAGAAAGAAAAGUGAGUGUCUGUUUGAGUAGACAUUAAUCUUGGGUGGUACCGCGGGAAGACUCUCGUCCCAUUU
rnacentral:ncRNA from 2 species